AGAAAGAGAAUUCCACAAGGACAAUGAAAACUUAAUAAUCAAAAUAAAUGUAUGAGCUAAGGAAAUAAUCUCAGGAUUGUCACAAACUCUGCUUAACACUGUCCUGAUACCCUUGUGGCCUGUCACCUAGAUCUACUGGGUAUUCACAGCAUGUUCUGACCACAGCUAUGUAUGAGUUCAUCAACAAGAUACCAGAGAAAACUGAUGAGCACAUUUGUGUUUAUGAUAUGCCAUGAACCAGGAAGGCAAAGGGGACAUCGCCUGAAUGCCAGGACUUUUCAACUCUGAUAGAGGCUUGGCAGCUACAUCAGCCAGUUCCCUUGGGACCCUGGGAUUCACGUCAUCAGGUCCCAUAGACCUGUAACUGUUUAGAUUCAUCAGGUGGUGUUGAACCUGCUCUUCACUUACAGUGGGUAGGACUUUGCUCCCCCAGCCUCCAUCUAUGGGUUCAGG